AAUAUACAACUUAAGUUUACAUAUUCUCCAUAUUUCCCUUAUUUUUUAAAAAAAUACUAAAAUCCCUAUUUUUUAAUAAGUCUAAUUUAACAGAUACAUUAUUAAAUUAGAAUCCUAAUAAAUCCUAACCAAUUAAAUCUUAUCCCUAAUUUUACUCUUUAUUUUCCCCAAAUAAAGAACCCAUUUACACCACUUCCAAAAUUAAUGCGUCAAUUUCUCAACGGUUCAUCUUCUCAAUUUUGAAAAUCAAAAUUUGUGCUCUCCAUCCGUCAGCCUUCGUCUAAUCUGUCCGCCAUUUUUGUCUACUUUGUCAGCCUUUGAAAAUCAAAAUUGUGCUCUCCGUCCGUCCGUCUUCGUCUAAUCUGUCCGCCAUUUUUGUCUAUUCUGUCCGCCUUAAAAAAUCAAAUCGCCAAUUUCGUCUACUCUGUCCGCCAUUUUCGUCCAAUAUUCUUGAAAGAUUGGGCAGCAUUGGAUGCAUAUAAAGACAAGAAAACUGGAGAACUUUUGGGUCCACAACAUUCGUUUAAUGUGGAGUUUGCUCAAGACAACAUGCAACAAAUAAGUGAUAGCCUUGAUUGCGGACUAUUCGUAGUUGUAUAUGCAGAAUUCUGAGUGACAAAAUCAACAUGUCAUGUAAUAGUUUUAAGAGUAGCUAUCUUCGCAAAAGAUAUGCGAUUCUUUUAUUGAAGUAUGGUCUCGACAAGAUGAAUGCUGGAUAUGUUAGCAACAGUGAUGACCCUUCAAGAAUGAACAAUGUAUUAAACCCAUCAUCUGAAGAUGAAAUUGUUAAUGUAGGCUAGUUAGUUUUCAAUGUUUGAUUAUUUUUUUUUUGGAGUUAAACAAGAUGUUUGAAGUAUUUAUUAACAUAACAACACAUAUUGUUAAAUUAUGAAAGUGUUUUGAUUUUUAAAAUUAUUUAUUCUAUUACUUUAAUUUUAUUUUUAUUACCGUUAUGAAUUCAGGAAUUAUGUAUACUGUUAUUGGGACAUGAAUGUCAUUAUUGUAUCAAAACUAUAAUAAUAAUUACAUUAAUGUAAUUAUUGUCAUAAAAAAACACUUAUUAUAUAUACGUAAAUAUAUUGCAUGAUACAAAAAAAGAAAAUUAUAUACGUAAUUAUAUUUUGUAUAUGAUACAUGAAAUAUCAAAAUAUAUAAUAUCACAAACAGUGAUACUAGUUAUUACAC